rnacentral:rRNA from 1 species
AUUGAACGCUGGCGGCAUGCUUUACACAUGCAAGUCGAACGGUAACAGGCCGCAAGGUGCUGACGAGUGGCGAACGGGUGCGUAAUGCAUCGGAACGUGCCCAGUCGUGGGGGAUAACUACUCGAAAGAGUAGCUAAUACCGCAUACGAUCUAUGGAUGAAAGCGGGGGACCGUAAGGCCUCGCGCGAUUGGAGCGGCCGAUGUCAGAUUAGGUAGUUGGUGGGGUAAAGGCUCACCAAGCCAACGAUCUGUAGCUGGUCUGAGAGGACGACCAGCCACACUGGGACUGAGACACGGCCCAGACUCCUACGGGAGGCAGCAGUGGGGAAUUUUGGACAAUGGGCGCAAGCCUGAUCCAGCAAUGCCGCGUGCAGGAAGAAGGCCUUCGGGUUGUAAACUGCUUUUGUACGGAACGAAACGGCUCUGGUUAAUACCCGGGGCUAAUGACGGUACCGUAAGAAUAAGCACCGGCUAACUAUGUG